rnacentral:rRNA from 1 species
UACGAAGGCCACAAGCGUUAUCCGGAUUUAUUGGGCGUAAAGCGCGCGUAGGGGGCUUAGCAAGUCUGUGGUAAAAUUUCGGGGCUCAACUCCGAACCCGCCAUGGAAACUGCUUCGCUAGAGAGUGUUAGAGGCAGAUAGAACUCAUGGUGUAGGGGUGAAAUCCGUUGAUAUCAUGGGGAAUACCAAAGGCGAAGGCAUUCUGCUGGGGCAUUUCUGACCCUGAGGCGCGAAAGCGUGGGGAG